UACGAAGGGGGCUAGCGUUGUUCGGAAUCACUGGGCGUAAAGGGCGCGUAGGCGGCUUUAUAAGUCGGGGGUGAAAGCCUGUGGCUCAACCACAGAAUUGCCUUCGAUACUGUAGAGCUUGAGACCGGAAGAGGUAAGUGGAACUGCGAGUGUAGAGGUGAAAUUCGUAGAUAUCGGGAGGAACACCAGUGGCGAAGGCGGCGAUCUGGGUAGAUACUGACGCUGAGGUGCGAAAGCGUGGGGAGCAAACAGG
rnacentral:rRNA from 1 species